rnacentral:rRNA from 1 species
AUCUAAAUUAAUAUAAAAUAAAACUAAACAUCAUUAACGAUGUGACUCCUCCAAGACAUGACCUGAAGUCCUCGUAACUCAACAUGAUCAAGGUCUAUGCCUGUGAAAUCAUGGUCUCAGUCAGUGUAAACACUCACUAUACCCCCAACCCCCUCAGAAAGUCACAUAGGAUCAAUCUGAAUGACUCUCAAGCACAACGAACACUAGUGAACAACUGUAAUCGAAGACGAUACACAGUGCCAAAAGCUUCCAUUUACCCCCUAAUACAAAUAAAUGAACCAUUGAUGGUCCAAAGUCCCCCAAACCCCCUAUAAAACCCCCAUCAAAGACAAAAAGGACUAGACUCCACUGGUCUCACUCGAAGCCUCACCGCACCUUGAAGAGUACUAGCUCAGGACUAGCGCAAGCUAUACACACCCCGUUAAUACGUCUCCAACAGCAUCCAGAAAGACCAUAUCGAAGGAUGAAAGCCUCUUGAACAAGGUAUAUACAAGAUUAUGCCCACCUGCAUGUAAACGCCCUAGUCAAAAUCAAAGACCAAAUAAAUAUAUACUCAGCAGAUGCCUUAAGACUAGAAAGCCCUCGUUCAUCUCUGGACAAGCAUCAAAGUGCAUAGAGUAUACUGUAGCAAUAGUAUCUCAGUAGUUCAGAGAAGCAGUGAAAGACUAAUCAUGAGAGCCCAUAGCUAGUUCUCUGUGAAAAGCACCUCAGUGCUCACCUAUAGUUGAAGCCAUCUGGAACCAAGUCUCUAUCCAUAACCACGACCAACACUGAACAAAGCACCCCUGGAUAACAUAUAACAGCCACUCAACCAGUAUCGCUCAACAAUAGACGCACUAUAAUGGCGUUAAGGUCAUGAUAGAACCGAGAAACAGCUCUCCACACCUGAUAAGGAGCACCAGCAUGCCUCACAGAGCCCUCCAAAGGACUAGUAUAAGCCUCCAAAGUAGCAAAUAAGCCUAGAGUCCGCUUAAACCCCUCAAGAAUGCGUCAAAGCUCACUACAAACCCCUCAAGAUACAUGAAUAUAGCUCUGCUCUACAACUCCGAACCAGUGAAACAACAAAAGUAACAGAGAGUAUGACCAGAAGCGCAAUAAGGACAUCAGCUGAUCUAAGUCAAAGCUAGAAUGUAUAUGUGAGUAAUGCCUAACCAAAGAUAAAAGACCAUGGUCUGAGCUACGUGGGUAUCCCUAGCCACCUUCUAAAGCCUAGGAAUCAACCAGUCUAUAAGCCCUCCAGCAACCAGCAAAUCAAGAGACUAUCGGAACCAAGACAUAAGCAUACAAGGAGAUCUCUCUCAGAUGCCUGAGAAGUGCCCUAGAACGGCCUGUAACGCAUAUUUAUGCACCAAAGGGUAUCUAGAGAGGAGACCUAAAUCUGAUGAAUCCUCCCUCCCCUCGAAACCACUCUAAAGACACCAGAUGAAGACCCUCUCAGAUGCCCCAGAAGUGCCCUAGAAUGGCCUGUAACGCACAAUACCUCACAAUGGUGUAUAAUAUGCCCAUGAUCUUGAUAUAUGUAUGCUCUGGAACGCACUUGGAUCACCAUAGACUGUACUUGAACCGACUCAGGAGCGUAGUAUACAAGCCAGUGUAUGAUAUACACUUCAAGGAACUAGACAAACCCCGUACGAUCAUUCUAGGAUGGUCUCUGCGUCACUAUAGGUGACUAAUGGAACAGAUCAGGGCGACUGCUUACCAAAAGCACAGGUCUCUGCCUAAGUCAUCCAACCAUAUCAUGUAUAGAGACUGACACCUGCCCAGUGUAUGCAACGACAGUACAUCUUUGACAUCGGAGAUCAACUAGAGCACAUACUAACGGCGCCUUUAACUAUAAGAGGCCUAAGGUAGCGAAACUCCUUGAUGGCUAAUUACCAUCCCGCAUGAAUGGUGUAACGACCCUGAACUUGUCUCAAAGGUAUGAUACGAUGAAAUCAUAAAAGAUGUGCAAAUACAUCUACCCAGCUAUUCAGACAAGAAGACCCCGUGAACCUUCACUAGAUAGGCUCAGAUGCACUGUAGAGCACUCCAGGAAGACUAUCAGAGAUCUAAUCCAGGAUAAAGCUUACCUACUACACAGCAUAUCUUCUAAGUCUAAUAGUUUGUCUGGGACGGAUUCCUAUUAAUAAGUAUCAUAGGAGCCUUAUGGUACCCUAUAGAGCUUAUAUUGAGUAUAUAUCGCAGCAAUCUGUUAUCUCUAGGUGCCUGAUGGAUUCGUCCGCUGAUGUGUCCAGGGAGAUAUAUUCCUGGGAUAGUGUCCCGUAUAGCGAACUCAAACGAGUCAUUAUACGAUCAUCGGUUAAUAGGUACUCCGGGGAUAACAGGUCAAGCGAAGUCGAGUGAUAGCCAACGACACUUUGUUCUGAUACCUCGAUGUCGUCUCAUCCAUACCUAUCAUUGCAGAUAAUGAUCAAGGUUAGACUGUUCGUCUAUUAAGUGGAUACGUGAGAUGGGUUCAGAACGUUGCGAAACAGUUCGGAUUAUAUCUGAUGGCUGAUCUCGGCUGAAACCAUACAUGUUGUAGCCAUUCCGUAGUACGAGAGGAUUCAGGAAUAGGUCCCCCUCUUGUAAUCAUAUCCUUUGCUAAUGCUCCUAGCGUGAUAAUAACUUACCCUUAUCUAUCUAGUUGUUCGCAUAUACAGUUAAUGUAUCGAUGAUCAUGAUGAAGGCUACUUCAUGAGUCGCUCUUGUAGACUAAGCAGAUCGCAGUGCCUGAGAUAUAAAGGCCAUUGCAGCGAAGCAAGUGAUCACCUGGACAUGAAAGCUUAGUUUGUGAGAGUG